rnacentral:misc_RNA from 1 species
UCUCCGUUGGUGAACCAGCGGAGGGAUCAUUACCGAGUUUACAACUCCCAAACCCCUGUGAACUUAUACCUUUACUGUUGCUUCGGCGGGUCAUUGCCCCGGGGAAACAGGCGGCCGUCAGGUCCCUGCCCACCCGGAAACAGGCGCCCGCCGGGGGACUCAAACUCUUUUGUAUUUUUUUGUUUACUGUAUACUGUCUGAGUAAAAAUUCAUAAUGAAUCAAAACUUUCAACAACGGAUCUCUUGGUUCUG